rnacentral:rRNA from 1 species
GAGUUUGAUCAUGGCUCAGAUUGAACGCUAGCGGCAGGCCUAACACAUGCAAGUCGAGCGGAUGAAGGGAGCUUGCUCUCUGAUUCAGCGGCGGACGGGUGAGUAAUGCCUAGGAAUCUGCCUGGUAGUGGGGGACAACGUCUCGAAAGGGACGCUAAUACCGCAUACGUCCUACGGGAGAAAGCAGGGGACCUUCGGGCCUUGCGCUAUCAGAUGAGCCUAGGUCGGAUUAGCUAGUUGGUGAGGUAAUGGCUCACCAAGGCGACGAUCCGUAACUGGUCUGAGAGGAUGAUCAGUCACACUGGAACUGAGACACGGUCCAGACUCCUACGGGAGGCAGCAGA